rnacentral:rRNA from 1 species
UACAGAGGGUGCAAGCGUUGUUCGGAAUCAUUGGGCGUAAAGGGCGUGUAGGCGGUUUGUUAAGUCAUGUGUGAAAUCCCUCGGCUCAACCGGGGAACGACGCAUGAACUGACAAGCUAGAGUACCAAAGAGGGGGGUGGAAUUCCAGGUGUAGCGGUGAAAUGCGUAGAGAUGUGGAGGAACACCAAUUGCGAAGGCAGCUCACUAAGCAAAUAAUUUGACGCUGAGGCACGAAAGCGUUGGGGGAUCAAACAGG